UUUCCGUAGGUGAACCUGCGGAAGGAUCAUUAACACGUUUCGUUCCGAACGUUUUGACCCACCCUAUUUUCCGUGCACUUUACAACCCGGCCUCCUGACCCAACCUGCUGGUUUACUGGCUGUGUUCUGGUCGGGCGUCUUCAGGGCUCAUAGGCGCCGUUGUCAGAAAUGAUUGUCCGUGCGAAAUGCAUGUCUUUCGUAGUAUGACUCUGUGUACCUCCUGGAGGCGUUGCCACCCAACCCCAAACCCUUGAAUCUAACUGCUCUGAUUUCAAGUUGUGCAUAGUCUCUUCGGAGAUUGUGCCAACGAUCUAAAACCAACAACACCUCUUAACAAUGGAUAUCUUGGUUCUCGCAUCGAUGAAGAAGGCAGC
rnacentral:misc_RNA from 1 species